GACGAACGCUGGCGGCGUGCUUAACACAUGCAAGUCGAACGGAAAGGCCCUGCUUUUGUGUGGUGCUCGAGUGGCGAACGGGUGAGUAACACGUGAGUAACCUGCCCUUGACUUUGGGAUAACUUCAGGAAACUGGGGCUAAUACCGGAUAGGAGCUCCUGCUGCAUGGUGGGGGUUGGACAGUUUAGGCGGAUGGGGGUGGACUCGCGGGUUAUCAGCUGGUUGGGGGGGUAGUGGCUUACCAAGGGUUUGACGGGUAGCCGGCAUGAGAGGGUGAACGGCCACAUUGGGACUGCGAGACGGCGCAGACGCCUACGGGAGGCAGCAGGGGGGAAUAUUGCACAAUGGGCGGAAGCCUGAUGCAGCAACGCUGCGUGCGGGAUGACGGCCUUCGGGUUGUAAACCGCUUUCGCCUGUGACGAAGCGUGAGUGACGGUAAUGGGUAAAGAAGCACCGGCUAACUACGUG
rnacentral:rRNA from 1 species